rnacentral:rRNA from 1 species
UGUGCACUCUGUGUGUGGAGCUUGCUACCAGCUUAGAUACAGACUGGCACCCACAACCUGAGCUUAUCAGAGUUGCAUAGGGUAGAUUGUUGUUGACCCAGGCUGGUGACACUAAUAGCUUUGGCACUCUUAGAUGGUGUUCAAUCACACCACUUGCUUGAUCACCCGGGCUUCUGACCUAUCAGCUAGACUGUGGUGCAAUGGACCACAAUGGCACUUACGGGUAACGGGGAAUCAGGGUUCGACUCCGGAGAGGGAGCCUGAGAGAUGGCUACCACUACCAAGGUGGGCAGCAGGCACGUAAAUUGCCCACUACAGACACAACCUGUGAGGCAGCAACGAACUGUAAUAAUCCUGUUGGCUAUGUGUGUUGACAUGACUUGUAAUGGAUACUAUCUAAACACAGUCAUGAGUAUCAACUGGAGGGCAAGUCUGGUGCCAGCAGCUGCGGUAAUUCCAGCUCCAAGAGCGUAUGCUAAUGUUGCUGCUGUUAAAACACUUGUAGUCUACCCCAGGGCUACAGGUCUGUUGAGUGCCUAGCACUGCAUUGCUUCAGGUCAGUGCAAGAUGCAUGGAUAAAACCUUGGCAGAAUGUCCCUGUGCCCACUCACUGUGGUUAUGAGAGCUCUUGACUGAAGCCCCUUUUACUGUGGGUGGAAGCAGUUUACUGCACACAAUUGAAUGCUGGGGACAGACUCAGAUUAAAGGCAGGUCUUGUCCACACUACCAGAGCCAACCACUCAUGCAUACCCUGGAAAAAUCAGUGUGUUCAAAGCAGCCAGGCUUAUUGGCUGAAUGUCCAUCCAUGGAACAUCAAUGAACCGACCAAGUGAGCCAGUGGAGUUCUGCUAGUCUUGGAGAUC